UAUAUAUAUAUAUAUAUAUCUUAUUAUAUAAAGUAUGGUUUUGAAAAUUACUAACUCAUAGGAUUAUGCCAUGUGUCAAGUCUAUCGAUCAGAUAUUGACACGUGUAAGAAAAUAAUUAACUUUUUCCUUCUUAAAGAAAUAGAAAACUAAAAAAUAAAUCAUUAUUAACAUAUACUAAUUCAUAUGUCUAUAUCUAA
rnacentral:sRNA from 1 species